CACUGUGAAGGUCUGCAGCUUCCCUCCUAAAGCCAGCGAGACCACAAACCCACUGGGAGGAACAAACAACUCCAGAUAUGCCAGCUUUAAGAGCUGUAACACUCACUGGGAAGGUCUGCAGCUUCACUCCUGAAGUCAGCAAGACCACGAACCCAUUGAGAGGAAUGAACAACUCCGGACGUGCUACCUUUAAGAGCUGUAACACUCACUGCGAGGGUCCGUGUCUUCACUCCUGAAGUCAGCAAGAUCAUGAACCCACCAGAAGGAAGAAACUCCGGACAUAUCUGAACAUCUGAAGGAACAAACUCUGGACACACCAUCUUUAAGAACUGUAACACUCACCGUGAGGGUCUGCGGCUUCAUUCUUGAAGUCAGUGAGACCAAGAACCCACCAGAAGGAACCAAUUCCAGACACAUUUUGUCUACCCAGAUGGGACUAUCGCCUAUCGCCAAGUGGUAAGGUGGCAGGAGUGGAAUCUUGGAUUCACCACACCCGAGUUAAAUUUUGGACAUCCCCUGAGGAACCUGCGGGACCAUCAGCUCAGGAGUCCCAAGAUCACCCAGACCAGCCUUGAUACCUGUGAACCAUUGGAGGACUUGCAUCUCCUAUUUUGGAAGGAAUCAUCCCAGACUAAAAAGGCUCCUACCACUGAUCCUGAAGAAAAACCCCUUCCUCCU
rnacentral:lncRNA from 1 species